rnacentral:rRNA from 1 species
AGAGUUUGAUCCUGGCUCAGGAUGAACGCUAGCGGCAGGCCUAAUACAUGCAAGCCGAACGGUAAGUUGAGUAGCAAUACUUGACCUAGAGUGGCGUACGGGUGCGUAACACGUAUGCAACCUACCCUUUACAGGAGUAUAGCUCGGGGAAACUCGGAUUAACACUUCAUAAGAUCGUGGUGUGGCAUCACACAGCGAUAAAAACUACGGUGGUAAAGGAUGGGCAUGCGUCUGAUUAGUUAGUUGGCGGGGUAACGGCCCACCAAGGCGAUGAUCAGUAGGGGAACUGAGAGGUUGAUCCCCCACACUGGCACUGAGAUACGGGCCAGACUCCUACGGGAGGCAGCAGUAGGGAAUAUUGGUCAAUGGAUGGAAGUCUGAACCAGCCAUGCCGCGUGCAGGAAGACGGCCUUCUGGGUUGUAAACUGCUUUUAUCUGGGGAUAAAAAGGCCUUGCGAGGCAAACUGAAGGUACCAGAUGAAUAAGCCACGGCUAACUACGUGCCAGCAGCCGCGGUAAUACGUAGGUGGCGAGCGUUGUCCGGAUUCAUUGGGUUUAAAGGGUGCGUAGGCGGCUAAUUAAGUCAGUGCUGAAAUAUCCCGGCUUAACCGGGAGGGUGGCAUUGAUACUGGCUAGCUUGAGUGCAGACGAGGCAGGCGGAAUUGACGGUGUAGCGGUGAAAUGCUUAGAUAUCGUCAAGAACACCGAUAGUGUAGACAGCUUGCUAGGGUGCAACUGACGCUGAGGCACGAAAGUGUGGGGAUCAAACAGGAUUAGAUACCCUGGUAGUCCACACUGUAAACGAUGAGAACUCGCUGUUGGCGAUACACAGUCAGCGGCCAAGCGAAAGCGUUAAGUUCUCCACCUGGGGAGUACGCCGGCAACGGUGAAACUCAAAGGAAUUGACGGGGGUCCGCACAAGCGGUGGAGCAUGU